GUAGGUGGCAAGCGUUGUCCGGAAUUAUUGGGCGUAAAGCGCGCGCAGGUGGUUCUUUAAGUCUGAUGUGAAAGCCCCCGGCUCAACCGGGGAGGGUCAUUGGAAACUGGGGAACUUGAGUGCAGGAGAGGAAAGUGGAAUUCCACGUGUAGCGGUGAAAUGCGUAGAUAUGUGGAGGAACACCAGUGGCGAAGGCGACUUUCUGGCCUGUAACUGACACUGAAGCGCGAAAGCGUGGGGAGCAAACAGGGAUUAGAUACCCUGGUAGUCCACGCCGUAAACGAUGAGUGCUAAGUGUUGGGGGGGUUUCCCGCCCCUCAGUGCUGCAGCUAACGCAUUAAGCACUCCGCCUGGGGAGUACGGUCGCAAGACUG
rnacentral:rRNA from 1 species